rnacentral:rRNA from 1 species
AGUUAACCUGCCCUAAGGUGGGAGAUAAACCCGGGAAACUGGGGCUAAUAUCCCAUAGCAAAUGGAAACUGGAAUGUUCUAUUUGCAAAAGUUCCGACGCCUUAGGAUGGGACUGCGGCGGAUUAGGCUGUUGGGGGUGUAAAACACCUCCAAACCGAUAAUCCGUACGGGUCAUGAGAGUGAUAGCCCGGAGAUGGGUUCUGAGACACGAAACCAGGUCCUACGGGACGCAGCAGGCGCGAAAACUUUACAAUGGCUGAAAGGCCGAUAAGGGAAUCCAGAGUGACAUACCACAUGUAUGUCUUUUAGCAAGUGAAAACAGCUUGCAGAAUAAGUAGUGGGUAAGACGGGUGCCAGCCGCCGCGGUAAUACCCGCGCUACAAGUGGGGGGCGCGUUUAUUGGGCCUAGAGAAUCCGUAGCUGGCUUCAUAAAUUCUCAGUUAAAUCCGCAGUUAACCUGUGGGCCGCUGGGAAAACUGUGGGGCUUGGAACCGGGAGAGGUUGGAAGUAUUGCUGGGGUAGGGGUAAAAUCCUGUAAUCCGAGUAAGACUACCUGUGGCGAAAGCGUCCAACUUGAACGGCUCUGACAGUGAGGGAUGAAAGCGUGGGGAGCAAACGGGAUUAGAUACCCCGGUAGUCCACGCCGUAAACAAUGCCCGCUUGUUGUUACAGUUCCUACGUGGAACUGUUGUGACGGAGCGAAGGUGUUAAGCGGGCCGCCUGGGGGAGUACGGCCGCAAGACUGAAACUUAAGGGAAUUGGCGGGGGAUUACACAAGUGGUGGAGGCUGCGGUUC